ACGGAAGGCAGCAGUGAGGUAUAUUGGUCAAUGGGCGGAAGCCUGAACCAGCCAAGUCGCGUGAAGGAAGAAGGUAUUAUGUAUUGUAAACUUCUUUAGACGUAGAGAAAUAAGGGGAUCGUGAUCCCUGAUGCUAGUAUACGUAGAAUAAGGAUCGGCUAACUCCGUGCCAGCAGCCGCGGUAAUACGGAGGAUCCGAGCGUUAUCCGGAUUUAUCGGGUUUAAAGGGUGCGCAGGCGGUCUUUUAAGUCAGUGGUUAAAUCGUGGAGCUUAACUCCAUCCCGCCAUUGAUACUGGAGGACUUGAUUGCGGUUGAGGUUGGCGGAAUUCGCCGUGUAGCGGUGAAAUGCAUAGAUAUGGCGAAGAACUCCGAUUGCGUAGGCAGCUGACCAAGCCGUAAAUGACGCUCAUGCACGAAAGUGCGGGGAUCGAACAGGAUUAGAUACCCUGGUA
rnacentral:rRNA from 1 species